rnacentral:rRNA from 1 species
CACGUAGGCGGAUAUUUAAGUCAAAAGUGAAAUCCCAGAGCUCAACUCUGGAACUGCCUUUGAUACUGGGUACCUAGAGUAUGGAAGAGGUAAGUGGAAUUCCGAGUGUAGAGGUGAAAUUCGUAGAUAUUCGGAGGAACACCAGUGGCGAAGGCGGCUUACUGGUCCAUUACUGACGCUGAGGUGCGAAAGCGUGGGGAGCGAACG